rnacentral:rRNA from 1 species
AUACGUAGGUGGCAAGCGUUGUCCGGAAUUAUUGGGCGUAAAGCGCGCGCAGGUGGUUCCUUAAGUCUGAUGUGAAAGCCCCCGGCUCAACCGGGGAGGGUCAUUGGAAACUGGGGAACUUGAGUGCAGAAGAGGAUAGUGGAAUUCCAAGUGUAGCGGUGAAAUGCGUAGAGAUUUGGAGGAACACCAGUGGCGAAGGCGACUGUCAGGUCUGUAACUGGCACUGAGGCGCGAAAGCGUGGGGAGCAAACAGGAUUAGAUGCCCUGGUAGUCCACGCCGUAAACGAUGAGUGCUAAGUGUUGGGGGGUUUCCGCCCCUCAGUGCUGCAGCUAACGCAUUAAGCACUCCGCCUGGGGAGUACGGUCGCAAGACUGAAACUCAAAGGAAUUGACGGGG